rnacentral:rRNA from 1 species
GCGAUGGCUCAUUAAAUCAGUUAUGGUUCCUUAGAUGGUGCACAGUUACUUGGAUAACUGUGGUAAUUCUAGAGCUAAUACAUGCAACUCGGUCCCGACCGGCGACGGAAGGGACGCUUUUAUUAGAUCAAAACCAAUCGGUCUUCGGGCCGUUUGCCUUGGUGACUCUGAAUAAAUUGUGGCAGAUCGCACGGCCUCCGAGCCGGCGACGCAUCUUUCAAAUGUCUGCCUUAUCAACUGUCGAUGGUAGGUUCUGCGCCUACCAUGGUUGUAACGGGUAACGGGGAAUCAGGGUUCGAUUCCGGAGAGGGAGCCUGAGAAACGGCUACCACAUCCAAGGAAGGCAGCAGGCGCGCAAAUUACCCACUCCCGGCACGGGGAGGUAGUGACGAAAAAUAACGAUACGGGACUCAUCCGAGGCCCCGUAAUCGGAAUGAGUACACUUUAAAUCCUUUAACGAGUAUCCAUUGGAGGGCAAGUCUGGUGCCAGCAGCCGCGGUAAUUCCAGCUCCAAUAGCGUAUAUUAAAGUUGUUGCGGUUAAAAAGCUCGUAGUCGGACUUGUGUCCCACGCUGCCGGUUCACCGCCCGUCGGUGUCUAACUGGCAUGCACGUGCGGACGUCCUGCCGGUGGCCCGAGCCGGCGCGGGUCUCGCACCCGUCGUCCGGGGAAGGCCUAUCAUACCCGUCGCGGUGCUCUUGACCGAGUGUCUCGAUGGGCCGGCACGUUUACUUUGAACAAAUUAGAGUGCUUAAAGCAGGCAGCAUCCGCCUGAAUACCGAGUGCAUGGAAUAAUGGAAUAGGACCUCGGUUCUAUUUUGUUGGUUUUCGGAAUCCCCGAGGUAAUGAUCAAUAGGACAGACGGGGGCAUUCGUAUUGCGACGUUGAAGGUGAAAUUCUUGGAUCGUCACAGGACGGACCGAAGCGAAAGCAUUUGCCAAGAAUGUUUUCUCUGAUCAAGAACGAAAGUUAGAGGUUCGAAGGCGAUCACAUACCGCCCUAGUUCUAACCAUAAACAAUGCCAGCCAGCAAUCCGCCAAAGUUCCUCCCAUGACUCCGCGGGCGGCUUCCGGGAAACCAAGCCUUUUGGGUUCCGGGGGAAGUAUGGUUGCAAAGCUGAAACUUAAACGAAUUGACCGAUGGGCAC